GCUGUAGCUCAGUGGUAGAACAUCUGCUCUGCAUGCAGAAGAACAGAGAUUCAAUCCUCAUCAUCUGCA